CACUUCCAGACAUGAAGAAAAGAUCUAAAGAUUCCUGUCAAAAAGUCCACCAACAGAAUCCAGACAAUAAGCUGGUAUCAGCAAAGACCUCCAUCAGAACCGGUCAUCCUCUGCUGCCCCUCAGCUCCAUGGUUCCAGAAAGCUUCUAUGCUCCAAGCCAGUCUGAUUUUUCUACGCUUUUAUCCCCCAUGGCUUCUCCUGGAGAGCUGAAGGACCUGACCGCGGCCAUAUUCCAGG